rnacentral:rRNA from 1 species
GACAGAGGCCCCAAGCGUUAGGCGGAAUCACUGGGCUUAAAGCGUGUGUAGGCGGACGCCUAAGUGUCUUGUGAAAUCCCACGGCUCACCCGUGGAACUGCUGGGCAUACUGGGCGUCUUGGGCCAACUAGGGGCAGCCGGAACAAGCGGUGGAGCGGUGAAAUGCGUAGAUAUCGAGAGGAACACCUGCGGCGAAGGCGGGUUGCUGGGCUGACACUGACGCUGAGGCGCGAAAGCUAGGGGAGCGAACGGG